rnacentral:lncRNA from 1 species
UUUCUUGUUUUUUUUUUUUUUUUUUNNNNNNNNNNNNNNNNNNNNACUCUGUAGACCAGGACAGCCAGGGCUACACAGAGAAACCCUGUCUCAAAAAAAAAACAAAAACAAAAACAACAAAAACAAAAAACUAAAAAACAGAGUGGAAAAAAUAAAACAAUAAGCUCACAUACAGAAUCAAUGUUUAAAACACAGUAAGUGCUUUAAAAAGCUAUCUAAGCACAGUUUGGUAGUCCAAGACAUUAAUGUUCAAGAGCAUGGGAGACAGAGGCUAUUUUAAACUGGUUUACAGUUUAAAAACCACCUUGCUUAGACAGACUUUGUCUUAAAAGACAAUCUUUUCAAACAGCUACAUCGCUUUACAUCUUAGCUGACAAAACACAAAUUUUCAUCUGGACCUUGAUGUUCAAUUUCCUAAGAUCUUCAAAGUUAAUUUUCAACCUAGAGUUAUAAUAUAUUUUUAGCACAUUCUGAGGACGAUGAGAUGGUUAAGUAGAUUAAAAACACUUGUGAGACAAGCCUGGAGACCCAAGUUCAUGCCCAGGCCGGAGAUAAAGUUUCAAAGAGAGAACAGAUUCCACAUUGCUGUCCAGUGACCUUCACACAGGCACCACACCCACAUCAUAUGUACAUAAGCUCUUACAUAAAACAAGUUGAAAUGUAUAUAACCAAACUUAACCCUUAAAUAUUUAUACCUUUCUUUCCUUAACUACAAAAAAGAUGAAAAUUCUUUCCUUAGGAAGCAUCUACUAUAAUUUUAAUAUUUUACAAAUUUUAAAUAAAUAAAUACUUCAGUGAAUAGGACUACUUAAAAAGAACUGGGCAUGGUGCUGUAUGCCUUUAAUCCCAGUACUGGGAGGCAGAGAGGCAGGUGGAUCUCUGUGGGUUCAAGACCAACCUGGUCAACAAAGCCACUCCAGGAUAUCCAGGGCUACACAGUGAGACUCUGUCUCAGGUACAGUUCCCAGGCCACCAUGAAUGACAACUUACAGCUGUCUGUAAAUACACUUACAGGUCUCAACAUUCUGUGACCUCCACAGACACCAACCAUGCACAUGGCACACGCAUACUCACAGCCAAAAGGUAGAUAUAUAAAAUUAAAAAAAAAAAAACAAACUUAAAAAAAUUUCAAAGGUUACAUUUAAAGGUACAUGCACAUUUAAAAUUAGCCUAGAUUCAUUGGCAAAAACAUGAUCUAUAUACUAGCAAAAUAAACACAAAAAUAAGACACAAGUAUAACUUCACAAAUUUGAAAUACACAACAUAAGCUGGUUAGCUCAUAGUUGACC